AGAGGUCCAGCCUGCCCAGUGGUUCAACGGCCGCGGUAUCCUAACCGUGCAAAGGUAGCGUAAUCACUUGUCCCCUAAAUAGAGACCAGUAUGAAAGGCAUCACGAGGGCUAAACUGUCUCCUUUCUCUAAUCGGUGAACCUAAUCUCCCCGUGAAAAAGCGGGGAUCCCCCUAUAAGACGAGAAGACCCUAUGGAGCUUAAAACAUAGCAAUACCUGGCAUUCUUAUUGUGUGUUUUUGGUUGGGGCGACCGCGGAGAAAAACCUAUCCUCCCCAAUGAACAAACAACAAGUUACAACUUUAAGUAUCAAAAAAUUGACAUCCCUUGACCCAAUAAAUUGAUUAAUGAACCAAGUUACCCUAGGGAUAACAGCACAAUCCACUUUGAGAGCUCCUAUCGACAAGUGGGCUUAUGACCUCGAUGUUGGAUUAGGGUAUCCUAGUGGUGCAGCCGCUACUAAAGGUUCGUUUGUUCAACGAUUAAAACCCC
rnacentral:rRNA from 1 species